AUUGAACGCUGGCGGCAGGCUUAACACAUGCAAGUCGAGCGGUUGAGGUAGCUUGCUACCGAUGCAGCGGCGGACGGGUGAGUAAUACAUGGGAAUCUGCCUGGUAGUGGGGGACAACGUUUCGAAAGGAACGCUAAUACCGCAUACGCCCUACGGGGGAAAGGGGGGGAUCUUCGGACCUCUCGCUAUCAGAUGAGCCCAUGUCGGAUUAGCUUGUUGGUGAGGUAAAGGCUCACCAAGGCGACGAUCCGUAACUGGUCUGAGAGGAUGAUCAGUCACACUGGAACUGAGACACGGUCCAGACUCCUACGGGAGGCAGCAGUGGGGAAUAUUGGACAAUGGGCGCAAGCCUGAUCCAGCCAUGCCGCGUGUGUGAAGAAGGCCUUAGGGUUGUAAAGCACUUUCAGUGGGGAGAAAGGUUAUUCACCUAAUACGUGAGUAAAUUGAUGUUACCCACAGAAGAAGCACCGGCUAACUCCGUGCCAGCCGCCGCGGUAA
rnacentral:rRNA from 1 species